UACGAAGGUGGCGAGCGUUGUUCGGAAUCACUGGGCUUAAAGCGCGUGUAGGCGGGUCGGCGCGUCGGCCGCUGAAAUCCCCCGGCUCAACCGGGGAAGGGGCGCCGAGACGGCCGGCCUGGAGGGACGUAGGGGGGGCUGGAACUUCCGGUGGAGCGGUGAAAUGCGUUGAGAUCGGAAGGAACGCCCGUGGCGAAAGCGAGCCCCUGGACGUCUACUGACGCUGAGACGCGAAAGCCAGGGGAGCGAACGGG
rnacentral:rRNA from 1 species